rnacentral:rRNA from 1 species
UUGGCUCAGAUUGAACGCUGGCGGCAUGCCUUACACAUGCAAGUCGAACGGCAGCACGGGAGCAAUCCUGGUGGCGAGUGGCGAACGGGUGAGUAAUAUAUCGGAACAUACCCUAGAGUGGGGGAUAACGUAGCGAAAGUUACGCUAAUACCGCAUACGAUCUACGGAUGAAAGUGGGGGCUCGCAAGACCUCACGCUCAUGGAGUGGCCGAUAUCUGAUUAGCUAGUUGGCGGGGUAAAAGCCCACCAAGGCGACGAUCAGUAGCUGGUCUGAGAGGACGACCAGCCACACUGGGACUGAGACACGGCCCAGACUCCUACGGGAGGCAGCAGUGGGGAAUUUUGGACAAUGGGCGCAAGCCUGAUCCAGCAAUGCCGCGUGUGUGAAGAAGGCCUUCGGGUUGUAAAGCACUUUUGUCAGGGAAGAAACGGUUCGGGCUAAUACCCUGGACUAAUGACGGUACCUGAAGAAUAAGCACCGGCUAACUACGUG